CGGACGGGUGAGUAAUGCUGGGAAACUGCCCGAUGGAGGGGGAUAACUACUGGAAACGGUAGCUAAUACCGCAUAACGCGCAAGACCAAAGAGGGGACCUUCGGGCCUCUUGCCAUCGGAUGUGCCCAGAUGGGAUUAGCUAGUAGGUGGGGUAACGGCUCACCUAGGCGACGAUCCCUAGCUGGUCUGAGAGGAUGACCAGCCACACUGGAACUGAGACACGGUCCAG
rnacentral:rRNA from 1 species